rnacentral:rRNA from 1 species
UACGGGGGGGGCAAGCGUUGUUCGGAAUUACUGGGCGUAAAGGGUUCGUAGGUGGCUGGCUAAGUCAGACGUGAAAUCCCUCAGCUCAACUGGGGAGGGUCAUUCGAUACUGUUCGACUCGAAGGCAGGAGAGGGAAGUGGAAUUCCCGGUGUAGUGGUGAAAUGCGUAGAUAUCGGGAGGAACACCUGUGGCGAAAGCGGCGCACUGGACCACAACUGACGCUGAGGCGCGAAAGCUAGGGUAGCAAACGGG